AAUGUAGUUAACAAACAUGUCCAUCACCCCCAAAAGCUUCCUCAUACUGAUGUAAUCUAACCUUCCCUCCCUCCACCCACAGGCAACCACUGAUAUACUUUCUCUCACUAUAGGUUAGUUUACAAUUUCUAGAAUUUUAUAUAAAUGAAAUCAUAGAAUAUUUACUCUUUCGUGUUUGGUUUCUUUCACUCAACAUGGGUACUUUAAGAUUUAUCCUUGUUACUACAUGUAAUAACAGUUCUUAUUUUCUAAAUUGUGGCGUAGUUGCUUUACAGUGUUGUGUCCAUUUCCGCUGUACCAUGAAGUGAAUCAGCUAUAUGUAAACGUGCAUCCCCUCUCUCUUGGAUCUUCCUGCCAUCCCACUCCCACCCUACCCAUCCAGGUCUCCAAGAGCACUGAGGUUAUUACAGAAUAUUGAGCAGAGUUCCCUGUGCUGUACAGUUGAUGCAGAGCCCCUGUUUGAGCUUCCUGAGCCAUACAGCAAAUUCCUGUUGGCUAUCUAUUUUACAUAUGGUAAUGUAAGUUUCCAUGUUACUCUUUCCAUACAUCUCACCCUCUCGUCCCCUCUCCCCAUGUCCAUAAGUCUAUUCUCUAUGUCUGUUUCUCCAUUGCUGCCCUGUAAAUAAAUUCUUCAUCCACUCCAUCAUUCUUGCCUGGAAAAUCCCAUGGACUGAGGAGCCUGAUAGGCUACAGUCCAAGGAGUCGCAAAGAGUCGGACACAACUGAGCGACUUCACUUUCUUUCACUUUCACCAUUUUCCUAGAUUCCAUAUAUGUAUGUUAAAAUAUGAUAUUUAUCUAUUCUUUCUGACUCACUUCACUCUGUAUAAUAGGUUCUAGGUUCAUCCACCUCAUUAGAACUGACUCAAAUCUGUUCCUUUUUAUGGCUGAUUAAUAUUCCAU
ensembl:lncRNA